GCUGUACAGACCACUACCACGCCGGCUGGCUAGGCUGCUCUGUAUUUCAGAGCACAUUUUUACAUUUGACCAGUAAAGACCUUCCAGAAAAGAGAUUUCUCAAAUCAAAUCCAUUGACAUAAAUCAAAAUAAUAGAAGAAAUUUAUUCAAUAAAUUCAUCAUCUAAAUUGGCCAGUAAAUUCUUCAGAUAAGCAGAGCUCAAACCAACAGCUUGAUUUGACACCUCCUACUAAGACUCUGAUCAAGAACCAUGCAGUAAA